UCUCCCUUCCAUUUCGUUUUCUUUUUUCUCCCCGCCCCCCUUCUGGUUUCCUUGCGGAGAGGUGAGUACAGAUGAUUCGCUGGGUUUGCGGUGAGUUGGAGAUGGUUCAGAAGAGGUCCAAUGUUUUUAUUAAUAUUGAUAGUUCUCAAGAUUGUGAUUCUGUUGAGUCUGAAGAUAUCUUGGAGUCAGGAGAUGAUAACCAUAGUGAUGCUUCUCAUGGAAUUGAUUAUUCUUAUACUAGUGAUUAAGAAAGUAUCAAACGAGCUGCUUAUAAGCAAGUUCUUAAUGAUGGCUCGAAAUCUCAUUGUGUCAAGCCUAGCAAAGAUGUUUUUACCAGAUUUUCAGUUUCCACAUUUUCAUCAGUUCUUGAAGCCUUAACCCCUGAGAAUAGGAAGGUUAUUGAAGACUUUGGUUUUGGUUGUCUACUUCAUUUUGAUAGGUGUUAUGUACCAAACAAGUUUGUGAAGUGGGUAGCUACACAUGUUAACCACAAAUCUGCUGAUAUUGUUUUGAAUGGCAAAGUCAUUUCACUUACUAAAGAAUCAGUGCAUUUAGUUCUUGGAUUGCCAAUGUCUGAGAAGUCUUUUCCUUUGGAUUCAUCUCUUGGGAAAUCAAUGCUAUUGUCUAAGUUGGGUAAACAGUCCAUCCCAUCCAUUAAAUUCUUCUCUAAAAAGCUCAUUGAUCAUGAAGUCAUGUCAGAUGAAGAGGUUUUCAUGUGUUUCAUUUUGGUGGCAAUGAAUAGUUUUCUCUGUUCAGACUUAUCAUUAAUUCCUAGCCAAAAGUACUUUGGAAUUUUUGAAGACAUUUAUAAUGCUAAGGAUUUGGAUUGGUGUGGUUAUGUUUUGGAUUGGUUGCUUGAUGGUGUCAAAAUCUUCAAUCAGGCUAAAGGUUCCAAACAUUCUGAAGGAGGAACUCUUCCUGGCUGCCUUUAUUAUUUGGCUGUUUUGUACUUGGAUUAUGUUGAUUUCGGUGCUCGUCAAAUUUCUAUAUCUGUUCCACGCAUCAGUGUUUGGAAAGGCUCGAUGAUUAAGGAAUAUGCUUAGUUUGAUUUGAAAUCUCCUGGCUGUUAUGGGUAUCAUCCUCUUCUUGACAUUUCUCGUACAUGUUUUUCUAAGGAUCUAAGGUUCAUUGGCAAUCCUGCCUCUCUUUCUUUUGGUGAUGAUUUAAAUGAGAAGCUUGACACCUUUGCUGGCUGCAAGCUUCCUGAACAAUUGAAGAAGGAUAUAUGCAAUCUCAUUCAAAAUUAUUGUUUCAACUGUGGCGUUUCCAUUAAUUUGGAUGUCCACUCUGUUAAUGCUCUGCCAGAUAAUCUGAAAUCUUGCUUCUGUAAACUUAUGAUGCAUACUUACUCCAUUGAUUCAAGAUCACAACAGUUGGCUUUAGAUCUUAUAAAGCUUGUUGCUGAUUCUGUUCUCGACGAUGAUAAUAAUGAUGAGGAGGAGGACAAUUCUCAAUAUGUUAAUGCUGCUACUGAACUUCAGAAUCCUCCUACCACUGUUGAUGUUAAUAUAAAUAAUUUCGAUUUUGAUCCUUGCAUUCGGGUCUCCAAACCUAUAUCUCUUGUCAUAUCUGAUAUUGAUUGUGUUUCCUGCACACAAAAAAAUAACUUGUCAAUGUCAAUAAUUUGUAUUUUGUUUAGUUCUGAAUGUUAAUUGUUGUUUCAACAUUCUAUCUUAGUUAUACCUUUGUUGUUUCUUCAGACCUGGUUAUAUUUUUGGUACCCCAAUCAGACAUGACUCCAACUGCAAGUUCGUCCUGCAAUUCAAUCUUAAUUAUUCUUUAUUUUACCUAGUUUCACAAGAUUCAUUCUAUAUCAUCUAGUUCACCAUGAAAUAAAGAAUUGGAUUUAUCUUACUUGCGAUUUGUUUGUCAGAGAGAUCAAGUUUUGGCUAACUUACUUGUGAUUUAUCCCUCAUCUGUGCUUGUGACUUCUUACAGAUUGUUCCGCUGUGAUUAGUUGAUCUUCCUGUCUUGCUACUUAGAAUCUCUUGGUCAGGCGGCUCCUGUUCUUUGUGGUUCAUCUUCCCCUUCGUGAAGGAAGGACACGCCGCCAGAUCUAGCUAAUACUUGGCUAUCGUGUCUUGUUCGGAACAGAAAAGGUAUUCCUCCUCCUCCGUUACUUCUUCAUCGUGUUGUCCAAGUAUGUCCUGUUGCUUGACUUCUUUAAUUCUUAUGUGGGUUUUGGUUUUCCUUGGCCCAUUAAGUUUGAGGCCCACUUUCUUUUGAUGGGCUGAUUCUGUUUCAGUUUAUUUUUUUUUGAUUUUCUGGUUUAGUCCAGUUGGGCUUUGUCUUUUUCGGUCCAUUUACUGGUUUAGUCCAGUUGGGCUGGUUUCUUUUGCACUUUAUUUUCAUUGGCCCUGUUCUUUGAUUUUUUUUCAUUUCUUUUGUUGGGCUCUGUUUCUUUUCUUUUUUAUUUCUUUUGGAUGGCCUUAUAGUUUCAUCAUCUGUAGGUUAUCUGUUGUUCGUACC